CGUGCAGCCGUUGCCCAGCGCGUCCCUCAGUGGUCGUCCAGAUCACAUUUGCUCCACCUCGGUCGCGCGGACGUCCCUACAGCCGUCAGGCAGUGCGUCCCGGUAGCGAUCGUCCAGAUCGUAUCCUGCUGAAGCUGUCCAAGUGUGCACACCAAUUGUUUGAUGAUUGUUCUACACAAGCAAGUCCAGAAAGAGUGCAAAUGAUAACAAGGUCCCAAAGAUUACAAGGCUUGGAGCUUUUGGAGAAUGGAGUACAAAAUCAAGAAUUGGUCCCAAAUGAUCAUUAUGUUGAAAAACAGAACAUAACAAACGCAGAUUGGCGCACAAAUUGCUAUGAGUAUUAUCCUGAUGGCCGCAUUAAAAGAUGUCGAGGACCAACUAAAUUGGCAAAUAUUGAAAAUCUUCCAGAGGGUGUUAAGAUUAUUGUCAAACUGGAUCGUUUCAAUAUACCUUGCUCCCAAUCUGCUAUAGUUCUUGGAUCCUAUUUAGGAACACUUGUCAGGAAGCCACAUCUAGCUCCACUGAACAUUCUUCAAUGGAAUCAUAAACUUUAUAAGAGAGCAUAUCAUCCAAAAAUGAUUUCUGAAGUAGAGUUAGAUGGCAAAUGGAGGCAGUACAAGUCAAAACUGAAAAGGGGCUAUUACAAGCCUAACUUACCUAUGGAACGAGUAUUGCAAACCGUGCCCAAAAUUGUUGCUAAAUCUCAAUGGGCCACCCUAGUUUCUUACUGGUACUUAGAGGACUCUAAGAAUGAAGUAUAUAUGAAAUUGGCUGAGAAAAGAGUGGAUUGCCAAGAACUCAGUGAAGCUGAUUUUGAACAAGCUAUGUUAGAAGUGCUUGGAAAGGAUCAUAGGGGUAGAGUUAGAGGCAUGGGUCCAACCAUUACUCCAACAAACUAUUAUGGUAGAAGAUUUUUGAAUAUAUCAGGAAGCAAUGAAGGGAAUGGCUCCAGUAAUGUAAAUGGUUUCAUUAGUUUUAUAGUAUCAUAUUUGACUGAGAAAUAUCCAGAGGAUAAUUUGAUUUCUAGGUUGCCACCAUCAGUUGCUAGGGUCAUUCCAAGACAAGAGGUUGAUCAGAAUGAAGGAAGUCAGCCACCAAAUACUGCUACAUCCUCUCUUCCAUUUGAUCAGAACCAUGAAAAUCAGCUACCAAAUACUACUCCAUCCUCUAGUGCUAGAGCAUCAUCUCAGUCUUGCAGUGAAGAAGAGUGA
rnacentral:lncRNA from 1 species